ACGAACGCUGGCGGCUGCUUAACACAUGCAAGUCGAACGGAGUGGCGAACGGGUGAGUAACGCGUGAGCAACCUGCCUAUGACCGUGGGAUAGCCUCGGGAAACCGGGAUUAAUACCGCAUAGUCAUAGAUGGGCUCGCGUCUGAUUAGCUAGUUGGUGAGAUAACAGCCCACCAAGGCGACGUGCAGUAGCCGGUAGUGGAGGAUGAACGGCCACAUUUGAGCUGGGCCACGGUCGAAACUCCUACGGGAGGCAGCAGUGGGGAAUAUUGCACAAUGGGGGAAACCCUGAUGCAGCGACGCUGCGAGAACGAAGAAGGUAUUCGUAUCGUAAAGUUCUGUCCUAUGGGAAGCAGUACCAGAGAAGAAAGCUCCGGCUAAAUACGUGCCAGCAGCCGCGGUAAUUC
rnacentral:rRNA from 1 species